CGCCGGCACCCACCUCUUAAACCCCUGCGCUCGGAACUUCUCGUAUUUCCUGGCAGUGCACCCCGUAACGUAGUGUCCUUCGGGCCCUGCCACCUCGCAGGGGAAACCCCGGUGCGGAUAACUUACAACCUUCUGCACCUGCAAACCACCUCUGGGCUGGGGGAAAACCUGUGCUCGGAAAACAAACAACCUUCUGCACAUACGCAGAAGGCGCAGCCCAACUUCUGGCUCGGUCAAGGCACAUACCUGCUUGCCGCCUGGCAAAGUUCUGUGUUCAGUCAAGGAGGGAGAGUGGGACAACUUGGAUCCCGACUCGGGCGGACUUUCGGAUGGACCUCCGUGUUGAAAUAGGUUUGCACUCACAAAAGACUGCCUGCCUAGUCUACUUAUGGAGGAAGGUGGGGAUGACGUCAAGUCCGCAUGGCCCUCAUGGGCUGGGCUACACACGUGCUACAAUGGCAAUUACAAUGGGAAGCAAGGCCGUAAGGCGGAGCGAAUCCAGAAAGAUUGCCUCAGUUCGGAUUGUUCUCUGCAACUCGAGAACAUGAAGUUGGAAUCGCUAGUAAUCGCGGAUCAGCAUGCCGCGGUGAAUAUGUACCCGGGCCCUGUACACACCGCCCGUCACACCCUGGGAAUUGGCCUCGCCCGAAGCAUCGACCUUUCUAACCAAGGAUCACCCAUUACGGCAAGUGUUCCACGCCGUCGUUGAGUGUGGCCCACUUUGGGUUUGGUGGUCUCCUUGGCGCAUACCACGGUUGGGUCAGUGACUGAGGUGAAGUCGUAACAUGGUAGCCGUAGGGGAACCUGU
rnacentral:rRNA from 1 species